rnacentral:rRNA from 2 species
UGAGGAAUAUUGGUCAAUGGACGAGAGUCUGAACCAGCCAAGUAGCGUGAAGGAUGACUGCCCUAUGGGUUGUAAACUUCUUUUAUAUGGGAAUAAAAUGUUCCACGUGUGGGAUUUUGUAUGUACCAUAUGAAUAAGGAUCGGCUAACUCCGUGCCAGCAGCCGCGGUAAUACGGAGGAUCCGAGCGUUAUCCGGAUUUAUUGGGUUUAAAGGGAGCGUAGGUGGAUUGUUAAGUCAGUUGUGAAAGUUUGCGGCUCAACCGUAAAAUUGCAGUUGAAACUGGCAGUCUUGAGUACAGUAGAGGUGGGCGGAAUUCGUGGUGUAGCGGUGAAAUGCUUAGAUAUCACGAAGAACUCCGAUUGCGAAGGCAGCUCACUGGACUGCAACUGACACUGAGGCUCGAAAGUGUGGGUAUCAAACA